AGUGCAUAACAGUUGCGGAUCAUUAACCUUUCUAAAUAUUUAACUAUUUCACUUAAAUGAUGGCACAGUUUCGCAAAACCAUGAGGAAUUAUUCAUUCGUUUAUUAUUCCGUCCAUAACCAUCACUUUCGAUUUGUUCCGAACAAAGUUUUUAGUUCAUUCCGAUCUUCCAUACAGAUCAAUACGUUUAGGACGAGUAUCGUUUUCCAUCAAUAAAAUGUCAUUACAUGACGUGUUCGAUUACCGCACUCGAUGUGUAGUAUGGGUCACCGUAAUUAUUGCACUUACGAAUGUGUUUUUCCAUUCAUCUGGCGCUGUGGGACAAAAUACCAAAAUGGCUUUCGAUGAGAAGAAAGAUGUUGAGGUCGUUCGGAUUGUGACCAAUGAUAAUAAUGAAGAAAUGGUCGCAUCUGCAUCCGACAUUGAUCGAGGAUACUCGCACAGAGUGAAAUUUUUCGACGAUAUUUUCAAUAUACCAAUCUCUGUCUUACAAAAUGUGAAUAAUUUAAUUCAAGGAAUGUUUGGUAGACCCGCUGGAUAUUCCGUAAGACCUGCAAAUCCGGUAAUGGCUGCCAGUGGAUGGGGUAGAUCAUCGGAU